rnacentral:rRNA from 1 species
UACGGGGGGGGCAAGCGUUGUUCGGAAUUACUGGGCGUAAAGGGCUCGUAGGUGGCCAACUAAGUCAGACGUGAAAUCCCUCGGCUUAGCCGGGGAACUGCGUCUGAUACUGGAUGGCUUGAGUUUGGGAGAGGAAUGCGGAAUUCCAGGUGUAGCGGUGAAAUGCGUAGAUAUCUGGAGGAACACCAGCGGCGAAGGCGGCCUUCUGGACGGUGACUGACGCUGAGACGCGAAAGCGUGGGGAGCAAACAGG